GGUCACUGCGGGGAGUGAUGGACAUAGAGCAGGGGUGGGGAACCUUUGUUCUGCCACGGGCCAUUUGGGUAAUUACAACAU